AACGAACGCUGGCGGCAUGCCUAACACAUGCAAGUCGAACGAGACCUUCGGGUCUAGUGGCGCACGGGUGCGUAACGCGUGGGAACCUUCCCUUAGGUUCGGAAUAACUCCCCGAAAGGGGUGCUAAUACCGGAUAAUGUCUUCGGACCAAAGAUUUAUCGCCUUUGGAUGGGCCCGCGUUGGAUUAGCUAGUUGGUAGGGUAAAAGCCUACCAAGGCGACGAUCCAUAGCUGGUCUGAGAGGAUGAUCAGCCACACUGGGACUGAGACACGGCCCAGACUCCUAGGGGAGGCAGCAGGGGGGAAUAUUGGACAAUGGGCGAAAGACUGAGCCAGCAAUGCCGCGUGAGUGAUGAAGGAGUUAGGGUUGUAAAGCUCUUUUACCCGGGAUGAUAAUGACAGUACCGGGAGAAUAAGCUCCGGCUAACUCCGU
rnacentral:rRNA from 1 species